GCGUCUAUUGAUAACGAAACGAUAAUUUGUCAACAAUGAGAAUCAGAUACUUGGCUUAAUAAUUUUCAUUUAAAAUGUCUAAUUUGGAUAUAAUUCGGAAUACAAAACGAAACUUAAAAGCGUGACCACAUGUGACAACAGCGAUGCUAGUUGGAUAUAAAAUUGGUAGACGUGUCGUUGAACUCGACACAUUGACCGAAUCGCUUUUAGCAUGCAGUGCUUGUCAAGUGCCCAUGAAUUUACUUAACACUGUAGAAAGCAUGGAUUUCGGACAGGCAUGUGUUUUGGACAUACAGUUUAGCAAUUGUGGUGCAGUAAAUAAUGCGGCUACUGGACGGAAACAUGGCAGAGUUUAUGACAUGAUCACAAAGCUUGCAUUUGGGUAAAUCAAAAACUGGGUGUUUCACCUGGGACUUUCACAUCGAAACUGGCCCUUCUCCAUGACCUUCAGCACAAAAAAAGAAAGGCUAUAGCUGUUACUCGUGCAGCAAAACAGUGACGCAUAAGACUUAAAACUCGAACGGCAUUCAAAGGACAGUGCAAGAAGUACGAGCGGGACCAACAUACAGUUCAAACAUAGAGGACCAAGACGUUGAAGUUACAACUAUACCCCCACCUAUACCCAAGCCUGGUCCAGCAGGGCUAGACACUACUGGGAAGGAAUUUGUUUUCUUUGAUUUGGAAACAAGAGGGUUAGAGCACACUUCUCACAUAAUUCAGAUAGCUGCAGUGCAUUCAACUGGUCAAUUUUCAACAUAUGUGAUUCAUGAGAAGAAGAUUUCCUUGCAAGCGUCAGAAAUAACUGGAGUGACAGUUGUUAGCGACUCUAUGCUUGUCAAGAGACAAACAGUAACAGCUGUCCCCAUCAAAUCUGCAUUGACAAGUUUUAUAACAUUCUUACAGAAAUGUUCACCAAUUAUUUCAGUUGGGCAUAAUAUAGAGUCUUUUGAUUGUAAAGUGUUGCUCCGUGCUAUCCAUACUUGUUGAAAAAUGUUUGAGUUUCAGCAAAAUAUUUGUGGCUUUUUAGAUACUUAAAAAUGUUAAAGGAAAUAUUACCAAAUAUGAAAUCAUAUAAGCGGGAACAUUUAGUUAAAGACGUCAUUGGUGAAUUAUACAUGGCACAUGGCGCUAUACAGGAUAUUUUAGCUUUACAAAAGUUAGUGAACUCUGUUCCUGUUGACCAAAAAUUGUUAACAAAUAUUCAUUCAGCUUUUACCGAGCAGUGUUAACAUACAAUGUGUAACUAAAUGUUGCUUCCAA